UGGGGAAUAUUGGACAAUGGGGGCAACCCUGAUCCAGCAAUGCCGCGUGUGUGAAGAAGGCCUUCGGGUUGUAAAGCACUUUUAUCGGGAAAGAAACACGCAGGGCUAAUACCCUUGCGGACUGACGGUACCCGAUGAAUAAGCACCGGCUAACUCCGUGCCAGCAGCCGCGGUAAUACGGAGGGUGCAAGCGUUAAUCGGAAUUACUGGGCGUAAAGCGUGCGUAGGUGGUUCGUUAAGUCCGUUGUGAAAGCCCCGAGCUCAACUUGGGAAUUGCAGUGGAUACUGGCGAGCUAGAGUGCGGUAGAGGAAGGUGGAAUUCCCGGUGUAGCGGUGAAAUGCGUAGAGAUCGGGAGGAACACCAGUGGCGAAGGCGGCCUUCUGGACCAGCACUGACACUCAAGCACGAAAGCGUGGGGAGCAAACA
rnacentral:rRNA from 1 species